GCUGGGCACGGUGGUGUUUGCCUGUAAUCUCAGUGACCUGGGAGGCUGAAGCAGGAGAAUGGUGAGUUGGGGUCAGCCUCAGCAACUUAGCAAGACCUUGUCUCAA
rnacentral:sRNA from 1 species